AGUUCGGAUUGUAGUCUGCAACCCGACUACAUGAAGCUGGAAUCGCUAGUAAUCGCGAAUCAGAAUGUCGCGGUGAAUACGUUCCCGGGUCUUGUACACACCGCCCGUCACACCAUGGGAGUCGGAAAUGCCCGAAGUCAGUGACCUAACCGAAAGGGAGGAGCUGCCGAAGGUGGAGCCGGUAACUGGGGUGAAGUCGUAACAAGGUAGC
rnacentral:rRNA from 1 species